GAUGAACGCUGGCGGCGUGCCUAACACAUGCAAGUCGAGCGAUUCUCUUCGGAGAAGAGCGGCGGACGGGUGAGUAACGCGUGGGUAACCUGCCCUGUACACACGGAUAACAUACCGAAAGGUAUGCUAAUACGAGAUAAUAUGCUUUUAUCGCAUGGUAGAAGUAUCAAAGCUUUUGCGGUACAGGAUGGACCCGCGUCUGAUUAGCUAGUUGGUAAGGUAACGGCUUACCAAGGCGACGAUCAGUAGCCGGCCUGAGAGAGCGACCGGCCACAUUGGGACUGAGACACGGCCCAAACUCCUACGGGAGGCAGCAGUGGGGAAUAUUGCACAAUGGGCGAAAGCCUGAUGCAGCGACGCCGCGUGAGCGAUGAAGUAUUUCGGUAUGUAAAGCUCUAUCAGCAGGGAAGAAAA
rnacentral:rRNA from 1 species